GAUUUAAUUAGUUGAAUUGAAAGAUGAAAAAAAACUUGAUCAGUUAAUCUUAAUCCUCUCACUGACUUCACCAAGUCAGAUUAAAGAAGAUUAGGUAUAAGCUGGUCCAGCCAAUCAGUCAUAAAUCCUCCCAAUGACUUUAAGACAAGUUAUUAAGAGGACUCAAGAUAAGUUGAACUAGGGGCACUUAAAUCAGUCAUACUGAUUUUCUAGUUACCAUAGGUCAUCCCAAUCAUUAAGUGAUCUAAUCAAAAGACGAUUCACCAUGUUGGUCAGAUAAGU
rnacentral:lncRNA from 1 species